UUCGUUCUGUUCUGUUGGAAUUCGUGCCAAUUCGUUCAUUUUAAUUUUGAUCUUAGAACAAUCUGCUUCGUUCGUUCAACGUUUAGAAAAAAUUGGAAAAAUAUUUAAUUGAAAUGGAAGUUUUUAGUAAAAUAUUGCUAAAAUCUUGUAGGCAUAAAUAUGUUGCAACCGUAAUUUCUACAAGCUGAAUGUUAUUUGAAGGGAUGGCGUUGGAAAUUACUGAUACAAUUAUAACAUCCAGCUGAGUUACGUAUGAAUGAUUACGCGGAACAAAUUGGCCUAAUAUGUCUUAAUAAAGCUGGAAAACUGUUGCAGCGGCUUAUAAAAUGUGCAGCUGAAACUAAGUAAUCUUGCAGCUGCUAUUUGUUUUAAUUAAAGCCAGUUGAGGGAGAACGCUUGGUUAUACUGCAUAAGAUGACCCAAAUAUCUUAAAAAGAUUGCAGUUGCAGUUCAAUGUGAAAAUGUAAAAACAGCAUUGGAAGCUACAUAUUUAAAAGAUUUGCGUAAUGCGUAUGGAUAAUGUAUUGCAAUUCAUUGAAACAUUGCAGAUGCGUGAAAAGUUUAAACAUAUUAAUAAGCCAGAUAAUUAUGGAAGGAGUUGGAGGUGUACUUAAAGUAAAGGCGUUUUUGUAUUCUCUCUGGACAGCCUCUCUGCAGCCUUUAAACGUUUAUACACUAAUUAAACCAAAUAAAAGCAAAAUAAUUUGAAAAUAUUAAA